GUCACAUAUUACAAUUGCAAAUUGUCUAGAGUAGUUAAGAGGUGAGCUGUUCAUAAUCCUUUAGGCAAAAAUCCCAUGUGCAGCGGGAUAAUGGCAGACGUGGCUGUUAAAGGUGAAGAGCUUAUGUGUCCAAUAAAAUUCUGGAGGCAUGAGAGAGAGUGGAGUAAAUCAUCUCUUCUUUGAUGUGGAAAGAAGUGGCAAUGAGCUCCUGUAGCUGUGGUUACCUCUGCCCAUGGCUGGUCAUUCACAGAGGCCCCCGCCCCAGCCAUGGGGUGCCAAACCGUGUCUCCUGCUCUGGCGUUGCUUCUGCUGAAAGAAAGCACAAAGACUGAGGCUGUGGUGGCCCUGUAGGUAAGUGGGAGCUGCUUAUAUUAUUUUCUGUAUUUCUAUGUUUGAAAUAUUUCAUCACUUUAAAAAGGCACCCUGACUUUCCACAAGG
rnacentral:lncRNA from 12 species